GAAACAUUAUCAGUAGUUUAAAAUUGAAACAAAGUUACUCUGGAAAAGCCACUAAGAAAAAACUUUAAAUUCAUAUUACUUCUCAAACUGCAGCGUUUCAAUGCAUAUUUUUAACUGCUUUCCUUCAAAAGUUUGCCAUAAAUGUUUGAUGGCAUGCUGUUUCAACCAGGACAUGGGCACUUAGUUUAGAAUGUAAGAUUUUGCUGCAAUUUUAAUUUCCACUAUUUGCAAAUUAUUUGGAGGUAUAUACACCUGGAAAAAAAAAAUCAUGAGUGACGUGAUUAUCCAAUUAAGUCUGGGAAGUAAAAGUGUUUAGAGAAAUGGUCCUCAUAAAGUAAAUUAGAAAAAAAAAACAGUAAAAAGAAGCAAAAAAUUAAAAAAAGAAAGAAGACAAAAACAAACCUUUCUUCAAAGUGUACCUGCUUAAUCCCCACUGAGAACAGCUCUUCAGAGGCUGUCAACAGCUCUGUUUGGUCACGGUGACUGUCACUGACUUUUGCUCAAUGGAUGCCAGAAUGUUGCACUUAUCUUUUACUCAAGGUACUGAGUAAAAAUCAACACUGGACAAAGACCUCUGCCUAACGAGUAGAGCACCCCUGAGGCAGGCGGGAAGAGGAUCUAGGAAUGCAUCACCCUGCUACUGGCUGGUUUGAAGUAUGUGGAAAGAGAAAUAACAGCUGUCAUACAACUGAACUUGCACGUGACAGUACAAACCUGUGGUCUAUACACUCCUUUGGCCCCAGGGACAGACAAGAAAGGUGAAAAAUGUGACCCACUGGAGCUUAGAAAAUGCGCAAAGUCUCUUCAAGAUCGAGUUUGGAGUGGUGGCCUGGACCUUCACUUGCCACUAGGGUGAACAGACAGGCAUCAUGCAUCACAUUUUCAGGAAGCAGCUUGCCGUAACAUUUUGCAACAUGCUUGGAUGUCCUGGAUAUGAGAAGACCAACCAGAAGGUCAGAAACUGAAAAUUGGUUUGCAGAAUAGUUUGAGUGAACGUCUUAAGGUUACAAAGGCAAGCAUAUGGAGAUCUACGUUUGCAUCUUUGAAUUGUAGGAGGCAGAUCUAUUCAACACAUUGCUAGGAGGCAUCCACUGAACAGCCCAGAUGCUAGUAUUUUCCAGCAUUCAACAGUACUUACGUAGUGGACAUGACUUCAUCUGCGAAGAGAAAACCAACUCAAAAUGGAGAAAUAACAGUAAGAAAAUUUAUGAUGUCACAGAAGAGGAUACACAAGGGAAGGCAAUCCUAAGAUUGAUGGGAAACAUAGGAAAAAGAAGAUAAUACUGGAACAAGGUGUUGGAGGAUGACAGCUAAAUCCCACUUCAACCAAGCAACCAACCAACCCACCCUGAGAAGUUUCCAUUCCAGGGGCUGGAUGGAAAGAAGUACCUCCAAAGAAUAUAUGUAUAACUUCAUAUCUCUUCAGGGUCUUUGGUAGAGCGAUCCAAUUUGGGAAGACCAGUCUUUGAAAAACUAUGAAAACUAUUUGCUAAUAUUAUGAAAAGCACAAUUUUCCUUUGCAUCUCUCUCUUUGAAUGUUAUAGGACUAUAUAGAAAGCUGCAGAUAUAAUGCCACAGUAAUUAGAAACUUUCCCCUCUAAAGACUGAAAAGCAGCUAACUCGUGGACUCACUAUACUUUCUUCAAAUGAUUUUUUUCUGGAAGCAUCGUAACAUUCAAUAAGUAGUCACAAUUUUUUUAAAUUAUUUAUCCAUAAGAUUAAAAGAAGUCCCUCCAUAUGUGUGCUCUAUAAAUAUUUGUUGAAUAAAAGACUCAAUUAAAAAAUAAUAAAAAAGCAGUUUUGCAAAUUGCUAAUCACAUCCACUCUAGUGAGAAAUAGACAUGCAACCAUUAGUUCCCUCUUUUUCUG
rnacentral:lncRNA from 1 species